UUCGGGGGACAGGGUGACAGGUGGUGCAUGGUUGUCGUCAGCUCGUGUCGUGAGAUGUUGGGUUAAGUCCCGCAACGAGCGCAACCCUCGACCUUAGUUGCCAGCAUUCAGUUGGGCACUCUAAGGUGACUGCCGGCUAAAAGUCGGAGAAGGUGGGGAUGACGUCAAAUCAUCAUGCCCCUUAUGACCUGGGCUACGACACGUGCUACAAUGGGCGGUACAAAGGGUCGCGAACCCGCGAGGGGAGCCAAUCCCAAAAGCCGCUCUCAGUUCGGAUUGCAGGCUGCAACUCGCCUGCAUGAAGCCGGAAUCGCUAGUAAUCGCGGAUCAGCAUGCCGCGGUGAAUACGUUCCCGGGCCUU
rnacentral:rRNA from 1 species